rnacentral:rRNA from 1 species
ACCCAAUAGAUACCCAGGUAGUCCACGCCCUAAACGAUGCAUAUUUGGUGUGGGCAGUUCAUUCUGUCCGUGCCGGAGCUAACGCGUUAAAUAUGCCGCCUGGGGAGUACAGUCGCAAGGCUGAAACUCAAAGGAAUUGACGGGGGCCCGCACAAGCGGUGGAGCAUGUGGUUCAAUUCGACGCAACGCGAAGAACCUUACCUGGGCUCGAACGGCUGGUCAACGGCGGUGGAAACAUCGCUACCCCGCAAGGGGGUCCGAGUCGAGGUGCUGCAUGGCUGUCGUCAGCUCGUGUCGUGAGAUGUUGGGUUAAGUCCCGCAACGAGCGCAACCCUUGUCCUGUGUUGCCAUACCGAAAGGUGGAACUCGCAGGAGACCGCCAGGGAUAACCUGGAGGAAGGUGGGGAUGACGUCAAGUCCUCAUGGCCUUUAUGUCCAGGGCUACACACGUGCUACAAUGGACGGUACAAAGCGCAGCGAACUCGCGAGAGGGGAGCCAAUCGCAAAAAACCGGUUCUCAGUUCGGAUUGCAGGCU